AUGAACAUCUCCGAUCAACACCCUCAGAUGGUGUGCACCCUGGCACUGCCAGGAGCCAACCCGCCUCAGAUUCAGCUCAGAGCUCGCCGCCCCGCCCACUCCCGGGCUGGAGGUCAGCGCAGCCCUCCCCGCGCCUGGGAUCGAGGCUGGCCCGCGUACCCCGGCCGCCCCGCCCGUUCCGCGCGUCCCGGCCGCCGCCGCGAUUGGCUGAGUCCCGCCUAUCCCCGCGACUGCGCGCACCGGAUCCGCGCUUUUCCCCGCUGUGUCCGCGCGGUGUUCCAGAUGAUGAAGAAGGGCGAGUGUUACUUCAUUAACGGCACGGAGAAGGUGAGGUUCGUGGAGAGGCACAUCUACAACCGGGAGGAAUACGUGAGGUUCGACAGCGACAGUGGGGCGGUACGUGGGGUUCACGCACUAUGGGGAGUGCAAUGCCAAGCGCUGGAACAGUAACCCGCAAUUGAUGGAGUACAAACGGGGUCAAGUGGACACGUACUGCCGGCACAACUACGAGUUAGACGCCCCGUUCAGCGUGGAGCGCAGAGUUGCACCGAGCUGUCCCCGCUCUCUCCCAGUGACCCCCAGUGUGUCCAUCUCGCUGGUGCCCUCCAGCUCCCAGCCCGGCCCCGGCCGCCUGCUCUGCUCCGUGAUGGAUUUCUACCCUGCCGAGAUCCAGCUGAGGUGGUUCCAGGGCCAGCAGGAGCUCUCGGAGCACGUGGUGGCCACCGACGUGGUGGCCAAGGGCGACUGGACCCACCAGCUGCUGGUGCUGAUGGAAACGCCGGCCCAGCGCGGGGUCACCUCCAGCUGCCAGGUGGAGCACGUCAGCCUGGAGCAGCCCCUGAGACAGCACUGGGGUACGGGGGAGGCACUGGGGGGGCUGCCAGAGGCACUGGGAUGUGCUGGGAGGAACUGGGAGGGAGCUGGAGAGAGCCUGGAGAUGCCGCCGGGACGCCUGCCCUGCAGCAAGGUGCUGAUGGGGAUCAGGGGCUCUGUGUUGGGCUUCGUCUUCCUGAUGCUGGGGCUCGGCUUCUAUGUGCGCAAGAAGAGCUCCUGA